GCCAGUGUAGUGUAGUGGUUUUGCGCUGAACUAGGACUCUGGAGACCAAGGUUCAAAUCCUGGCUUGCCA